GUCUACGGCCAUACCACUCUGAACGCGCCCGAUCUCGUCUGAUCUCAGAAGCUAAGCAGGGUCAGGCCUGGUUAGUACUUGGAUGGGAGACUCUCAUGGCUCACAGGCUCUGAGCUU
rnacentral:rRNA from 1 species